UGAUUAAAUCAUUGAAUCAAUUCUUUUCGUAACUCAUUUUUCCUGUUUGUAGGUUUUGCUGAUGUCUUCAAGAGCUGGUGGGGUAGGCCUGAAUCUAACUGCAGCAUCAAAUGAGUUCUUAAUUGAUCCCUGGUGGAAUCCUGCAGUUGAGGAACAAGCAAUCAUGCGAAUCCAUCGAAUCGGACAAAAGAAAACAGUCACUGUUAGAAGGUUCAUUGUUAAGGAAACAGUUGAAGAAAGGAUGCAACAAGUUCAGGCAAGGAAGGAGAAGAUGAUUGCAGGUGCU